rnacentral:rRNA from 1 species
UACGUAGGGUGCGAGCGUUGUCCGGAAUUAUUGGGCGUAAAGCGCGCGUAGGUGGUUUGUUAAGUUGAAUGUGAAAUCCCCGGGCUCAACCUGGGAACUGCAUGCAAAACUGGCAAGCUAGAGUAUGGUAGAGGGUGGUGGAAUUUCCUGUGUAGCGGUGAAAUGCGUAGAUAUAGGAAGGAACACCAGUGGCGAAGGCGGCUGCCUGGCCCAAUACUGACACUCAGGUGCGACAGCGUGGGGAGCAAACAGG